CUCUGCCUACGGGAGGCAGCAGUCGAGAAUCAUUCACAAUGGGGGAAACCCUGAUGGUGCGACGCCGCGUGGGGGAAUGAAGGGCUUCGGAUUGUAAACCCCUGUCAUGUGGGAGCAAAUUAAAAAGAUAGUACCACAAGAGGAAGAGACGGCUAACUCUGUGCCAGCAGCCGCGGUAAUACAGAGGUCUCAAGCGUUGUUCGGAAUCACUGGGCGUAAAGCGUGCGUAGGCUGUUUCGUAAGUCGUGUGUGAAUGGAGCGGGCUCAUCCCGCGGACGGCACAUGAUA
rnacentral:rRNA from 1 species